GCUCCCGCCGAGACCUUGCCUCCGGGGCCCGCGGACACCUCCGUCGCCGGAGGCGUCACCUACACCCUCGAGUGAACGCGUCUACUUUCUCGCCUUUCCCUGCUGUUCCCUUUUGCCUCGUCCACCAUCUUUCACCAGCCUCGACGACCUGUGUCGCACCCCCUCCCUUAGGCGCGACUCCAACCCGGCCGGGCUUCUGGGCUGGGUCCUGCCUGCCCCAUUCCCACCGGCCCCGGGCGCCGUGGCCCCGGAGGGUUUGGGGAAAGGUCGCACCGCCUCCUCGUCCGGCUGGCAGAGCCGAGCUUCGGAGCCUGUCAUUCCCUGGCCCGCGGGUCUAGCUUAAGUCCGUCCUUCGUGAAAUGCCUGGGUGAGCCACCCCUGCACCGUUUUGCGUGGGCACACCUGGAUUGCAUCCAGAUGUGCCCCUUACUGCAGGCGUGACCUUGGGCGAAACCCUAGAUCUUGUCGUCUUUGUAAAAUGGUCAAGAUUGCCAGCAUUUGAAGCCUUUUUCAACUUCCAGAAGUGGACUUCUAUGAAACAAGAUGAAAAUAUAUUAAUUAACUUUUAUUUAAUUCUCUAUCUAAAAGAAUGUACUUUUAUAUCUGAUGGGGACACAUUUCCCUCAUUUUGGAUUCCAAAUUAAAUAUAUGAGAUGAUUUUUAUUCAGUA